rnacentral:rRNA from 1 species
AGCGUAAUCAUUUGCCUUUUAAUUGGGGGCCUGUAUGAUUCCCCGUUUGAGGUUAAAAGCUGUCUUUUUUUAGUUCUAGAAUUUGCUAUUUUUGUGAAGAAGCAAAAGUUUGUUAAAAAGACAAGAAGACCCUUUUAAGCUUAAUUUUUAUCUCCUAUUUUUACUUUUCUUUUAGAGAAAGAUAUAGUUUUUUGGUUAAUAAAAUUUGGUUGGGGUGACUGAAGAAGAUUGAAUCUUCUCUGUUUUUGUGUACUGNGGGUUUAAGAUUGACCCAAAAUUUUUGGUUAGAAAAAUUAGUUACUCAAGGGAUAACAGCGUAAUCUCUUCAGAGAGUUCUUAUUGAAGAAGAGGAUUGCGACCUCGAUGUUGACUUACUUUCUCCCUUAUAAGGUGCAGAAGCUGUAAGGGUUGGUCUGUUC